GUGGAUGAGGGAGUGCUGGGCUGUCAUUCCUCUGGAAUUGCAGCUUGUUAUGUUUCUGGAGAUCCCCAUUUCUACACAUUUGAUAAGGUCAUGCACACUUUCAUGGGUACUUGUACUUACACACUGGUGGAUGUAUGUGACAAGAGAAGUAUCAUACCUCUCACCAUCAAAGGGAAAACAGAGGACCGAGGGCAACGAGCUGCAACAUAUCUCAAAGAAGUUUAUAUUGAUGUGUAUGGCAUUCGUAUUACACUGCAGAAAGAUAGGAGAACUCUGGUGGGUGAUACUCUCAUCCAUACACCAUGGACUGGACAUUU